rnacentral:rRNA from 1 species
CGCUAGCUACAGGCUUAACACAUGCAAGUCGAGGGGCAUCAGGAAGAAAGCUUGCUUUCUUUGCUGGCGACCGGCGCACGGGUGAGUAACACGUAUCCAACCUGCCCUUUACUCGGGGAUAGCCUUUCGAAAGAAAGAUUAAUACCCGAUAGCAUAAUGAUUCCGCAUGGUUUCAUUAUUAAAGGAUUCCGGUAAAGGAUGGGGAUGCGUUCCAUUAGGUUGUUGGUGAGGUAACGGCCCACCAAGCCUUCGAUGGAUAGGGGUUCUGAGAGGAAGGUCCCCCACAUUGGAACUGAGACACGGUCCAAACUCCUACGGGAGGCAGCAGUGAGGAAUAUUGGUCAAUGGGCGCUAGCCUGAACCAGCCAAGUAGCGUGAAGGAUGAAGGCUCUAUGGGUCGUAAACUUCUUUUAUAUAAGAAUAAAGUGCAGUAUGUAUACUGUUUUGUAUGUAUUAUAUGAAUAAGGAUCGGCUAACUCCGUGCCAGCAGCCGCGGUAAUACGGAGGAUCCGAGCGUUAUCCGGAUUUAUUGGGUUUAAAGGGAGCGUAGGUGGACUGGUAAGUCAGUUGUGAAAGUUUGCGGCUCAACCGUAAAAUUGCAGUUGAUACUGUCAGUCUUGAGUACAGUAGAGGUGGGCGGAAUUCGUGGUGUAGCGGUGAAAUGCUUAGAUAUCACGAAGAACUCCGAUUGCGAAGGCAGCUCACUGGACUGCAACUGACACUGAUGCUCGAAAGUGUGGGUAUCAAACAGGAUUAGAUACCCUGGUAGUCCACACAGUAAACGAUGAAUACUCGCUGUUUGCGAUAUACAGUAAGCGGCCAAGCGAAAGCAUUAAGUAUUCCACCUGGGGAGUACGCCGGCAACGGUGAAACUCAAAGGAAUUGACGGGGGCCCGCACAAGCGGAGGAACAUGUGGUUUAAUUCGAUGAUACGCGAGGAACCUUACCCGGGCUUAAAUUGCAGUGGAAUGAUGUGGAAACAUGUCAGUGAGCAAUCACCGCUGUGAAGGUGCUGCAUGGUUGUCGUCAGCUCGUGCCGUGAGGUGUCGGCUUAAGUGCCAUAACGAGCGCAACCCUUAUCUUUAGUUACUAACAGGUUAUGCUGAGGACUCUGGAGAGACUGCCGUCGUAAGAUGUGAGGAAGGUGGGGAUGACGUCAAAUCAGCACGGCCCUUACGUCCGGGGCUACACACGUGUUACAAUGGGGGGUACAGAAGGCAGCUAGCGGGUGACCGUAUGCUAAUCCCAAAAGCCUCUCUCAGUUCGGAUCGAAGUCUGCAACCCGACUUCGUGAAGCUGGAUUCGCUAGUAAUCGCGCAUCAGCCACGGCGCGGUGAAUACGUUCCCGGGCCUUGUACACACCGCCCGUCAAGCCAUGGGAGCCGGGGGUACCUGAAGUACGUAACCGAAAGGAUCGUCCUAGGGUAAAACUGGCGAC